GGAAUUUUGGACAAUGGGGGCAACCCUGAUCCAGCAAUGUCGCGUGAGUGAAGCAGGCCUUCGGGUUGUAAAGCUCUUUCGUCAGGAACGAAACGCGACAAGCUAAUACCUUGUCGUAAUGACGGUACCUGAAGAAUAAGCACCGGCUAACUACGUGCCAGCAGCCGCGGUAAUACGUAGGGUGCGAUCGUUAAUCGGAAUUACUGGGCGUAAAGCGUGCGCAGGCGGUUGUGCAAGACAGAUGUGAAAUCCCCGGGCUUAACCUGGGAAUUGCAUUUGUGACUGCACGGCUAGAGUGUGUCAGAGGGAGGUAGAAUUCCACGUGUAGCAGUGAAAUGCGUAGAUAUGUGGAGGAAUACCGAUGGCGAAGGCAGCCUCCUGGGAUAACACUGACGCUCAUGCACGAAAGCGUGGGGAGCAAA
rnacentral:rRNA from 1 species